rnacentral:rRNA from 1 species
UACGUAGGGUGCAAGCGUUUGUCCGGAAUUAUUGGGCGUAAAGCGCACGUAGGCGGAUUGUUAAGUCAGGGGUGAAAUCCUGGAGCUCAACUCCAGAACUGCCUUUGAUACUGGCGAUCUUGAGUCCGGGAGAGGUGAGUGGAACUGCGAGUGUAGAGGUGAAAUUCGUAGAUAUUCGCAAGAACACCAGUGGCGAAGGCGGCUCACUGGCCCGGUACUGACGCUGAGGUGCGAAAGCGUGGGGGAGCAAACAGG